rnacentral:rRNA from 1 species
GGGUUGUGAGGUUAAGCGACUAAGCGUACACGGUGGAUGCCCUGGCAGUCAGAGGCGAUGAAGGGCGUGCUAAUCUGCGAUAAGCGCCGGUAAGGUGAUAUGAACCGCUACAACCGGCGAUACCCGAAUGGGGAAACCCAGUGUGACUCGUCACACUAUCAUGCAGUGAAUACAUAGCUGUAUGAGGCGAACCGGGGGAACUGAAACAUCUAAGUACCCCGAGGAAAAGAAAUCAA